GCGGGCGUCGUCCAACUGGCCAGGAUCCGGGAACCUCACUCCCGAGACGCAGGGUUCGAGUCCCUCCGCCCGCGC
rnacentral:tRNA from 1 species